GCGCAGGAAAAGAAACCAACAGGGAUUGCCCCAGUAACGGCGAGUGAAGCGGCAACAGCUCAAAUUUGAAAUCUGGCUUCGGCCCGAGUUGUAAUUUGCAGAGGAAGCUUUAGGCGCGGCACCAUCUGAGUCCCCUGGAACGGGGCGCCAAAGAGGGUGAGAGCCCCGUAUAGAUGGACGCCUAGCCUGUGUAAAGCUCCUUCGACGAGUCGAGUAGUUUGGGAAUGCUGCUCAAAAUGGGAGGUAAAUUUCUUCUAAAGCUAAAUAUUGGCCAGAGACCGAUAGCGCACAAGUAGAGUGAUCGAAAGAUGAAAAGCACUUUGAAAAGAGGGUUAAAUAGCACGUGAAAUUGUUGAAAGGGAAGCGCUUGUGACCAGACUUGCGCCGGGCGGAUCAUCCGGUGUUCUCACCGGUGCACUCCGCCCGGCUCAGGCCAGCAUCGGUUCUCGUGGGGGGAUAAAGGCACCGGGAACGUAGCUCCUCCGGGAGUGUUAUAGCCCGGGGCGUAAUGCCCUCGCGGGGACCGAGGACCGCGCUUCUGCAAGGAUGCUGGCGUAAUGGUCAUCAGCGACCUGUCUUGAAACACGGACCAAGGAGUCAAGGUUUUGCGCGAGUGUUUGGGUGUAAAACCCGCACGCGUAAUGAAAGUGAACGUAGUGAGAGCUUCGGCGCAUCAUCGACCGAUCCUGAUGUUCUCGGAUGGAUUUGA
rnacentral:rRNA from 1 species